rnacentral:rRNA from 1 species
UUCGGGGAACGAUAACGGCGUCGAGCGGCGGACGGGUGAGUAAUGCCUAGGAAAUUGCCCUGAUGUGGGGGAUAACCAUUGGAAACGAUGGCUAAUACCGCAUGAUGCCUACGGGCCAAAGAGGGGGGACCUUCGGGCCUCUCGCGUCAGGAUAUGCCUAGGUGGGAUUAGCUAGUUGGUGAGGUAAGGGCUCACCAAGGCGACGAUCCCUAGCUGGUCUGAGAGGAUGAUCAGCCACACUGGAACUGAG